rnacentral:tRNA from 1 species
AGAAAUUUAGGUUACACCCUUUAAACCAAGAGCCUUCAAAGCACUAAACAGAGAACCCCACUCUAAUUUCU